AACUUGGCCCCCCUGGUGGACACACCUAUAUUAUGAGUGGUGCAAAAUAGAUAUAUGAAAAAUAUUUAUAUAAUAUAGUAAUAUAAAUAAUAAAUAAUAAUAAUAAUUUUUUAUAAUAUUUAUUUAUAUUUUAUAGUGGUACAAAAUGUUAGACCUUCAAAAACUUUCAACUGGUUACAGUAUGCCUUUAGUUGGAUUUGGCACAUAUAAGAUCCGAGGAAGGGAUACAGUAUAUCAAGUUAUCGACGAAAGCCUAAAUGUAGGUUUUCGUUCUAUUGAUACAGCUGAAGUCUAUCAAAAUGAAGAAGACAUAGGUUAUGCUUUAAACAGUUUAUUACCUAAAUAUAAUCUUCAAAGAGAGGAUAUUUUUAUUACAACUAAACUUGCACCAAGUUAUAAUGGAAAUCUAAUACGUAUAGAAGAAUCUGUACAAAGAUCUCUUAAAGCACUUAAUAUUACAUACAUAGAUCUCUAUUUAAUUCAUUGGCCUGGUGCAACUCGACUUCCAGAGAAUUCUACAAAUAAUCAAAUCUUAAGAACAAAAACGUGGGAUAAAUUGGUGGAGUUAAAGAAACAAGGAUUGUUAAAGUCUAUAGGUGUCUCCAACUAUACCAUAAAUCAUCUAGAAGACUUAAUGCAAUAUUGUCAAGAUGUACCACCAGCUGUCAAUCAAGUUGAAUGUCAUCCACAUUACAGACAAGAAGAAUUAAUUAAGUAUUGUAAUGAAAAAGGGAUACAUGUACAAGCAUAUUCUUCUUUGGGAACUAGUAGCAACACUAAUCUUUUAAAAGACCCAACUGUAACACUAAUAGCUUCUCGACUUAAUGUAUCACCAGCUAGAUUACUUUUGAAGUGGGCUUUGCAACAAAACAUUGGUAUUAUUCCCAAAGCAGUAAAAAGAGAACAUAUAGGAGAUAAUAUACAACUGAAUUUUACUAUUGAUAAAGAAGACAUGAAAGUUCUAUCUUCUUUACCUCAACAUAAAUAUUGUUGGGAUCCAUCAAAUGUAUAUUAAACAAUUUUUAAAAUAAAUGUUCAAAUAAAUGUAUAUAAUUACCUUAAAGAUAACAAUUUCAUAUCAAUUAUAAUAGCAUGGAAGAUUUUGCAGAUGAGAUUGCAAAGCUUUGUAUAGAUAAAUAUGUAUAUAAAACUUGGUAAAUCUGGUAAACCAACAGAGACAGAAUGAACUGUAUUGUCGGGUAUAGUAUUAAGGAAAGGUGAUGGUUUAUUAUCUUUAGUAGCUCUUGCUACUGGAACAAAGUGUUUAGGAGAAAUAGAUUUAAUAAAUACAGAAUUGUAUAAGGAUGGUUGUAGAUUAAAUGAUUCUCAUGCAGAAGUUUUAGCCAGAUGUGCCUUUUUAAGAUAUUUAUAUGAACAGAUUAAUUUAUUGCUUGAUGGUACUAAAAGCGAUGUUUUUACAAUGGACAAUAAGAAAAAACUUAAACUGAACAACGGAAUAUCAUUCCAUUUUUUCACAAGCCAAACACUGUGUGGAGAUUGUUCUAUAUUUCCAAAAAAUGAGUUCUGUGAAAAUGAUACACCACCAAUGAAAAUAAGAAAACAUGAUGAUGCAGGAGAAGUAAUCAUGGAAUCAUAUAAUGAUAAAAAGGAACAGAUGAUCAAAGACAUUUAUAGAACGGGUGCAAAAUGGGUUAAAACUGAAGAAUACCAAGAUCCUCAUCUAGCUGGGGUGAAUUAUCAUGUGAUUGGACCAUUGUGUGCUAAACCAGGAAGGGGUAAUCCAACUCUUAGCUUGUCUUGUUCUGACAAAAUGGCAAAGUAAAUAAAACUGGUUAUCGAGUAAUGGCAAUUAAUCGUACUUCGCAGAGUGCAUUGACAUGAAUACGUCACUAGAAAUAAAACGUCGACGUGUUAAUGUCUAGAGACGCGGUAGCAUCUCGACGUCAACUACAUGAAAAAUUAUACGCUGCCGCGUAUACCUGGCGCUGGCGCUACCGCGUAUCUUUUACUCGUAAAUCGGCUAUUCCAACCUAACCAGAAAUUUCUUUCAUUAGGUAUUUUUUUUAUGUAAACCGCAUAUAAACUUUCGAAUAAAACCAAAUUCAAUCAAAUCGGCCCACGUAGAACAGAGAUAUCGUAAUAUCAUGUUAUGAAUCAUUCAGAAACGGUAGAUUUUUGUUCUGACUCUGAUUCUUCUUCAAGAAAAGUUUCGUCAACAUUCAAUCAAUAGAAACUAAGUCCGUUCGUCGACUUUCAAAAUCAUUCAGCAGGGUUCGUGGCGGCCGCUCAUUCAUAACCUGUCAAGUGUCAAAAGUUUUUACAUUAUUGAAUUAUUCUCGAUUUGUAAUUAAAAUGUGCACUUUAAUUUUUUUAUAUCAGCAAAAUGUUUUUAAUUUAGUAACAAAUUGCAGCCAGAGUCGUAAAGUGUUGAUGAUCAAUUUUAAUCACAAGAUAAGUUGCCUAAAUCUGAAUUGCCAGAUAUCUUUCUCCAUACCAGAAAACUGUUUUUAAUUUAGAUUUUAAUUUAUCCAUACCAACAAACUGUUUUUAAUUUAGACUUUUUAUGUAGAGCUUAUAGAAAGGAAGGGUACUCAUAGGCUUGGAGGUUGUCCAAAGAAAGUUAUAAAUGAAGAAGCACUUCCUUUUGCACAAGUUUCUGAAAACUUGUACAAUGCAUGUGCCAAAUAUAUUGUACCCAUAACUGUAAAGUGUCGAUCAAUAUUUCAAAAGACAUAGCAUUAAGAAAAUUAUGGCUGACUGCUUGCAAUGUAGAGCUCAUCAAAUUAGUGAACCACGGUAAUGGACCAGGGUGCGCGCCUGUAGGCAAACUAAUGAAUCGUGUACAGAUUACACGUAUAUACAGAUGUAUGUGCAGUUAAAUAGUCUGCUCAGAGAAGUUGUUGCAGUUAUGUACAAUAAAAAGAAGUGAGAUCCCCAUAAAAAACUUCACAAAAGUAAAAACAUCACGCCAAGUACAUGAAAAAGUCUUUGUCUGGUAAUAUUAAACUUAAGACAGCGAUUUUCAUGACAGCGAAUGGUCAUUACAUGAGUAUGGUAAAGGAUAAGGGCACAACAUGGAUAGCCAUUGAUGAUUUACGAAUAGAAAAAUAAACUUGGCCACGAAAAGCUAAAAAUGCAUACAUAUUUUUCUGUGAAAGGUGUGAAAGUUGUGGUUGUUGUUACAUUACGAUGUUCAAUAUGGCAUUCUCAGAUCAUUAAUACUCAUACUUUCUCUCAUGCAGGCUUUCAGAUAAUUUGUUAGUUUAAAACUUCGACAAUAUGAGUCUACUUUCAUUAUUUUGCAUUUUAAAAUAAUUUGUAUUCAUCGACACCUUGACCUUGCCUGGCCACACCAAGUAUUUGACUAACAGACUGUGGACAUCUAGGCAAAUGUCUAAAUAGUCUCAGCUUGUAGCUGAUAUGUUGUUUAGCUUCUUCAUUUCACCACCAAAGUGCGGUGCAGUCACUUUACUUGAGUUAUCAUUAGGGUCUGAAUGUCAGCACUGUUGAACACAUCAUUUUAACUGUUCAUAGUUGGAAAGCACCUGUAUGUACUUGGAGCUCAUUUCAAUUUCACAUUUUUUGUACUUUCUUGUAGUUUUUUAUGGGGAUCUUCUAUCUUUUCCUGAUUUAUUUGGUAAUACCCCUUUUCAUCCUAAACUUUUUCAUGUACUUGACGUCAUUUUUUUUACUUUUUUGAAGUUUUUUGUGGGAAUAUGCAUGAUAUGGAAGGGAAUAUCUAUUAAAUUGAAUUUUACCAUUUGACCUCUGCUUUUUUAUCGUCGCAAUAGUCACACUGCCCCCUUGGCAGCGAUAGGUGAAAUUUGUAUCAAGAUAAAACUUUUUAUGAGAUGUUUGUUAGAUAAAAAUAAAAAUUUGAAUAUGUAGUUUACGAAGCUCUCGACAAUUUUAUGUUAAAAUCCAUUUUCAGGAUGCAGACAAAAAUAUAGGUACAAUUUUUAAAUGAGAAAAGUAAUGUGCAAUAUGAAAUUGAGCAAUGUAAUUUGCAAGUGAAUUAAAUAAUCGAAAGAAAAAACAAAUUUACAUUGUUGCUAUGAAACGACCUAAUACGAUUGAUUCAAACAUUUUUAAACUUCGGUGCUAAAAGAAUUUUAUCGUUAAUUAUUUUCGCUUUCUUUUUAGUUUACUUAAAAUUUACAUUGUUUCUAUAACGUAACCCAAUAUGAUUGAUUAAAACAUUUUUAAACCUCAAUGGUAAAACAAUUUCAUGAGCAUUUCUAAUUCCUAGGUACACAUCUGUUGAGGACACGAAAAUUUAUAUUUUCCAUAUUAUUAGACACAAAUUUUUGUUUAUAUUGUUCAAUUAACGUAAUUAGCAGUAUGUAAAUUUACUCAUUAACCGUAUUGGUAUUAAUAAGUUCUUUAGAUUAUCUAACUUAUUACGAAUUAUGUUUCUUUGUUUCGUCUUACACAUUGUUUCUUCCAUUUAUAGAUUAAGAAAAGUAUUUCGUUCGUAUUCUGAAGAUACAUGUAACCGAAAAUGUUAAUCUUAGGAGACCAUACAUUUUGAUUUAAAUUCAAACAUAGCACACUGAACUAGAAUUCGAGUUGUGGAAUCAAUGUUAAAAAGUAAUCUUGUACCUUUUAAAAGAACAUUGAAACUUGCACCUCUCAGAAUUACGUUAAAUUUUACACAUAGAAAUAUUUUUUAACUAAGAUUCCAACUCCAGUGUUAGUACUCUUCAGUUUCGCGUAUUCGCUAUAUAAAAUUUUGAAAGAAAUCUCAAUGUUUUCUCUUGUUAACGUUUCUCAAAAAAGAGGGCACCACUUGCUAGAAGGCGUAACAGCUACUUUCAGUGUAAAAACUGAUAAUUCUAUUUAUGUAUGAUGUAGUAUCAUUUUUUUAAAGACUUUCUUUCCUUAUUACAAAUCGUGACUGAAUAAUUUUUCUAUACUCAAUGAAUACAAAUUUUAAUCACUCAAUUAAUAUUAAAACUGAAUACAAAAAAUUUUUGUUUAAAUAAUAACUUUACAUUUGUACAAUAAAACCUACUUUGGAACUAAAUGAAAUAAAUAUAACAAAAAUUGUUUUUCUAUAAAUCUGGGACACAGAAAUUUGUCUCUUGUCUGUUUGCUCGAAUAAACACUGUGCAAACAAUAUACCCUAGGUUCUAAAAUUGUGCCUACCUCUGCCCCUUGAUGAUACCGCAAAAUCAUCGUCUGAACACGCGAGAAUUAUUAUCAGUCGAUAUUACACGUCUGUCGCGAAUCAGAAUAUUUAUGGCCAAAGGGAACAAACGAUGAAUCAGAGUUGAGAUUUGGAGGAUUACAAACAUCUGCCUAUUAUCGAAUAAAUAUUAACAAUCUCCUCGUACUUAAAAAUACGUGAAGGUAUCGUUAUAUUUCUUUUGUAUAGGUUUCACGCGGAACGACCGAAUGAAAAAUAUCACGUGACACAAAAAGAAUAUCUCAACGCUUUGACGACCUUGUACGAUGGCUGUUAAGAACGCACACACCAGACCAGCUUUGUUUACGCCAUCAAGCGAGUACUCGGGACUGUUAUCGUAGCGAAACCGGUUCACUGUUGGAUUUAUUCGGUUUCGAUAUCGACUGUCGCUGGGGGAGUUCAAGAAGGCAACUCAUGAUUAACAAUGACGUUCUUAGCUAGUUACAAAGAUUUUUCGGUUUGCCUUUUUCAUCAAUCGACACGAUGAUAAACAAAGGCUUAAAAAUAAUCGGAGGAAAGCUGUUAUUCUGGGAUAUCUCUAUUAUCAAUUAAUUAAAUUUUCUCGGAGAUUUUUUCUUCAACAGUUCUGUGGAGUUUGAGUGUACGUCAAUUAUGCAUCGAAGUCGUGGUAAUUCUAAUUAGAUCUUUUGAUUAUUACUUUUCCUUUCUCGCAUUAAACUGUACACCGUUUGUUGAAUUAUCCUUAUGUAUCCAAUAUAAUCAUUUAUUAAUUUCCUAAAUACAAGUACUUUGUUUAGUUCCGUAUUUCUAUUGCGCGCGUAUGAUAUCUCCGCGCACAAUUGUGUUCUCUUAUUCCCGUAGACGGACAAGAUACAAUCGUUUAUUUAACGUUCGGUGAAUUAGUUUAUAAUUUCACAUGGGAGGAGUACGAACUCCAGUAUGGUGUCAUGUGGGAUACAAUUAAAACGUAAGCGUAUCUUAAGUUCAUGAUGGACGAUAACUUGCGCAAUUGGUCGACUUUGAUUCCGUAGAAAA